GUUAAUUCCCCUUCCUGAAGUUUAGGAGAAGCAGGAAAAAGUCAGACCCUUGCAGAAUCUUAGCAUAUCUGGUGUUUAUUUCAAGCUGGGCUUUGAGGAGCCCUCUCCGCCAUUGUUGAAGUAUGCUUGUGGCAGGGAUGAGGGGGUUUUGCUGUUUUCCUUCUGUUUCACGUUACUACUUCAGUCUGUGAAAAGUUACUGUAAUAUUCUGUUAUAUUGGGCUACCCUAUUAGAUUCUAGUUGAAUAAAAUGUUCUGAGGCUGAAAACAGGUUGAAAAGUGGUUAUUUUCAGUGGGAAAACAGAAAUCAAGAAAAAUAAGUAGGCCAGG
rnacentral:lncRNA from 1 species